GGUUAUAAAGAUUAAUAAGUAUUUGCUGCCCAAAUACAUUUAAAGAGAGUAAAAGAAUACUUUUUUCCCAUCUUAAAGAAAUAGCACAGAGACUUAUUAUUUUUCGUGACAUCAAGAAAAUUCCAUGUUCAUUAUGUUGUGUUUCAGCAGAUUUGUCUUUCACACCUCCAGUCACCAUGCCCGCUUUACCAGUGCUGCUGACUUUCGCAAUUUCCAUUAGUGUGGUCUCAGCACAAGUAGUCAUCUUCCCUCGCUGCAAGACCAGUGAGCAGAAGAUGGAGGUCAUCUACGCCAACCCGACAACAAAUCCUUACGACC